CCGGAAAUGGGCCCUCGCGUGUGCUCGUAGAUUAGAGUUUGAUCCUGGCUCAGAUUGAACGCUGGCGGCAGGCCUAACACAUGCAAGUCGAACGGCAGCGCGGAGAGCUUGCUCUCUGGCGGCGAGUGGCGGACGGGUGAGUAAUGCAUAGGAAUCUGCCCAGUAGUGGGGGACAACCUGGUGAAAACCAGGCUAAUACCGCAUACGACCUACGGGUGAAAGCAGGGGACCUUCGGGCCUUGUGCUAUUGGAUGAGCCUAUGUCUGAUUAGCUAGUUGGUAGGGUAAAGGCCUACCAAGGCGACGAUCAGUAGCUGGUCUGAGAGGAUGAUCAGCCACACUGGGACUGAGACACGGCCCAGACUCCUACGGGAGGCAGCAGUGGGGAAUAUUGGACAAUGGGGGCAACCCUGAUCCAGCAAUGCAGCGUGUGUGAAGAAGGCCUGCGGGUUGUAAAGCACUUUCAAUUGGGAGGAAAAGCUAAAGGUUAAUACCCUUUAGUCUUGACGUUACCAUUAGAAGAAGCACCGGCUAACUCCGUGCCAGCAGCCGCGGUAA
rnacentral:rRNA from 1 species